GACGAACGCUGGCGGCGUGCUUAACACAUGCAAGUCGAACGGAAAGGCCCUGCUUUUGUGGGGUGCUCGAGUGGCGAACGGGUGAGUAACACGUGAGUAACCUGCCCUUGACUUUGGGAUAGCUUCAGGAAACUGGGGCUAAUACCGGAUAGGAGCUCCUGCUGCAUGGUGGGGGUUGGAAAGUUUCGGCGGUUGGGGAUGGACUCGCGGCUUAUCAGCUUGUUGGUGGGGUAGUGGCUUACCAAGGCUUUGACGGGUAGCCGGCCUGAGAGGGUGACCGGCCACAUUGGGACUGGGAUACGGCCCAGACUCCUACGGGAGGCAGCAGUGGGGAAUAUUGCACAAUGGGCGGAAGCCUGAUGCAGCAACGCCGCGUGCGGGAUGACGGCCUUCGGGUUGUAAACCGCUUUCGCCUGUGACGAAGCGUGAGUGACGGUAAUGGGUAAAGAAGCACCGGCUAACUACGUG
rnacentral:rRNA from 1 species